rfam:Treponema maltophilum ATCC 51939 genomic scaffold aczIZ-supercont-complete, whole genome shotgun sequence.
GAGUGAUUAGCUCAUUUGGAUAGAGCGUCGCCCUCCGGAGGCGAAGGUGGCAGGUUCGAAUCCUGUAUCACUCG